rnacentral:rRNA from 1 species
AGAUUGAACGCUGGCGGCAUGCCUUACACAUGCAAGUCGAACGGCAGCACGGGAGCAAUCCUGGUGGCGAGUGGCGAACGGGUGAGUAAUACAUCGGAACGUGCCCAAUCGUGGGGGAUAACGCAGCGAAAGCUGUGCUAAUACCGCAUAAGAUCUACGGAUGAAAGCAGGGGAUCGUAAGACCUUGCGCGAAUGGAGCGGCCGAUGGCAGAUUAGGUAGUUGGUGAGGUAAAGGCUCACCAAGCCUUCGAUCUGUAGCUGGUCUGAGAGGACGACCAGCCACACUGGGACUGAGACACGGCCCAGACUCCUACGGGAGCAGCAGUGGGGAAUUUGGACAAUGGGCGAAAGCCUGAUCCAGCCAUGCCGCGUGCAGGAUGAACGGCCUUCGGGUUACGUAAACGUGUACGUUUUGUAACGGUAACGUAAAAGUUCUUACUUUUACUAAAUAAAGAGGUAUACUAGU